GAUGAACGCUGGCGGCGUGCCUAAUACAUGCAAGUCGAGCGAACAGACGAGGAGCUUGCUCCUCUUACGUUAGCGGCGGACAGGUGAGUAACACGUGGAUAACCUCCCUAUAUGACUGGGAUAAAUUCGUGAAACCGGAGUUAAUACCGGAUAAUCUAUUGAACCGCAUGGUUCAAUAUUGAAAGACGGUUUUGCUUUUAUAUAUGGUUUGAUCCGCGCCGGAUUAGCUAGUUGGUAAGGUAACGGCUUACCAAGGCAACGAUGCGUAGCCGACCUGAUAGGGUGAUCGGCCACACUGGAACUGAGACACGGUCCAGACUCCUACGGGAGGCAGCAGUAGGGAAUCUUCCGCAAUGGGCGAAAGCUUGACGGAGCAACGCCGCGUGAGUGAUGAAGGUCUUCGGAUCGUAAAACUCUGUUAUUAGGGAAGAACAAAUGUGUAAGUAACGAUGCACGUCUUGACGGUACCUAAUCAGAAAGCCACGGCUAACUACGUG
rnacentral:rRNA from 1 species